GCCGCCUACGGGGCGCAGCAGUGGGGAAUAUUGGGCAAUGGGCGCAAGCCUGACCCAGCAACGCCGCGUGAAGGAAGAAGGCUUUCGGGUUGUAAACUUCUUUUGUCAGGGACGAAGCAAGUGACGGUACCUGACGAAUAAGCCACGGCUAACUACGUGCCAGCCGCCGCGGUAAUACGUAGGAGGCAAGCGAUAACCGGAUUUACUGGGUGUAAAGGGCGUGUAGGCGGGACC
rnacentral:rRNA from 1 species